rnacentral:RNase_P_RNA from 1 species
UGAGAUAGUCGAGCAGUCGCUGUAUUUUCAAGUACAGAGGAAAGUCCGAGCUCCACUGAGAGAUGAUGCCCGCUAACGGCGGGGCGGGGUGACCCGACGGAAAGUGCAACAGAAAAUAUACCGCCUCUAAAAAGGUAAGGUUGAAAUGGUGAGGUAAGAGCUCACCGCUUAUAUGGUGACAUAUAAGGCAAUGUAAACCCCAUCUGGAGCAAGGCCAAAAAGAGGAUCUAGGGCCUCUCAGACCAUAUCCACGGGUUAGCCGCUUGAGUCUAUAGGCAACUAUAGACCUAGAUAGAUGACUGCAAAUUUACAGAACUCGGCUUAUAGACUAUCUCACAAU